ensembl:snRNA U6 U6 spliceosomal RNA
GUGCUUAGUUCACCAGCACAUGCACUUCAUUGGGAAAGAUACAGGGAAGAGUAGCAUGGCACCCGGCAAGGAUGACAGGCAAAUUUGUGAAAUGUUCUGUUAAAUA